rnacentral:tRNA from 1 species
CGCGCUCGUGGCCGGCGGCCGGCUCGUGCCCGUGCCCGGCACCGGCGAGCGGGCCUGGCGCGGGCCGCUGCCGGUCACCCCGGCGGUGCGUGA